GUGUAUAGAGGAGGCGGUGAGAGGGAGGGAGGAGCAUUCGGCGGCGUGACGUAGAGCGGAAGCUCCGGCCGUUGGGAUCGCGGCGGCGGCUGAGCGGGCGCAGUUCGCAGGAACGGCGGGCGGGUCGGAUAGCGGCGGCCGCCGAGUGGGCGUAGGAACGGUGGGGCGAAGGUAGGGGAAGUAGUGGGACGGCAGCGGGAGGGGUACGUGCGGAGAUGGGUCGUGGCGGCGGGGGUUUAGAACAUGAGCAUCUCGGCCUGCGGUGGUUUAGAGCAUGAGCGCGACGGGGUGGGUGUGAAGGCUCUGUGCGGCGGCGGUUAGGGGUAGGUGUGACGUGGCCGUAGGGAGUGGGACUCGGCGGCGGAGGGUAGGGGUAGAGGAAGGUGCGGCGUGGUCGUAGGGGUCAGGUCGCGGCGGUGGGGUAAGGGGUUAGGGAUAGGGGCGGGGACGAAGCGGAGUGUCACGUCGGGCCACACUGUCGAGGAGACAAGCAAGCACGAUGGUGGACCACGUUGACGGUGACGACAAGCAGACAACGACGACGAGGAGACAAGACGGGAGACGGUGCCGAAGUUGAACACAAGCAGUUGACUUCGUCGUCGUCGUCGUUGUCGAUCGGAGUCAGCGUGUAUCUCCGACGUUGACUCGAGAAAAGAAAAAACCAGCCAGAAAUGUCCAAUUGGUCGGAUUUGACUAGAACUUUCUGUUCAAAACUCUAGUUUCAACCGUUCCCUUCUUCAUAGUUCGACGUUGGUAGUUAUUGGCUUCUUCACGGGAACGUCGGAAAACGUUCCCAGCUUUAAAUCAUGUUCGUUUGGUAUUACCUGUUCUCAAAGUUUUACUACUCCAACUUCUACUCCUGUAUAAACUCUAACCCCACAAGCAUUUCAAUACGUCUUCGUUGGUACCGUCGGGUAUCGUCAAGGGUGUCGAUCUUCCAGUGGUCGUAUUACGGAAACGUAAGUGUUCAAAGUUCUCCACACAAACCACUCCGAUUUUCCUAGAAGACGACCCUAUACAAAGAUGGAUUUUGGAUAAAACGUGAAAAAAGAUACUACAUUAUGAAACUGAAUACUUGGAUGUUGACAUACGUAAAUCUGGACUACCUACCAACACGAAAACCGACAGGACCUGAACACUUGGAUAUAUACAUACCUAAUACAUACCUACCUCUGAACACUUAGAUAC
rnacentral:rRNA from 1 species